rnacentral:rRNA from 1 species
GACGAACGCUGGCGGCGUGCUUAACACAUGCAAGUCGAACGGAAAAGCCCUGCUUGCAGGGUACUCGAGUGGCGAACGGGUGAGUAACACGCGGGUGAUCUGCCCUGCACUUCGGGAUAAGCCUGGGAAACUGGGGCUAAUACCGGAUAGGAGCCAUUUUUAGUGUGAUGGUUGGAAAGUUUUUUCGGUGUAGGCUGAGCUCGCGGCCUAUCAGCCUGUUGGUGGGGUAAUGGCCUACCAAGGCGGCGACGGGUAGCCGGCCUGAGAGGGUGGACGGCGACCUUGGGACUGAGGUACGGCCCAGACUCCUACGGGCGGCAGUGGUGGGGAAUAUUGCACAAUGGGCGCGAGCCUGAUGCAGCGGCGCCGCGUGGGGGAUGACGGCCUUCGGGUUGUAAACUCCUUUCGCUAGGGACGAAGCUUUUUGUGACGGUACCUAGAUAGGAAGCACCGGCUAACUACGUG